GACGUAGGGUGCAAGCGUUGUCCGGAUUUACUGGGCGUAAAGCGCACGUAGGCGGAUUGUUAAGUCAGGGGUGAAAUCCUGGAGCUCAACUCCAGAACUGCCUUUGAUACUGGCGAUCUUGAGUCCGGGAGAGGUGAGUGGAACUGCGAGUGUAGAGGUGAAAUUCGUAGAUAUUCGCAAGAACACCAGUGGCGAAGGCGGCUCACUGGCCCGGUACUGACGCUGAGGUGCGAAAGCGUGGGGAGCAAACAGG
rnacentral:rRNA from 1 species